rnacentral:rRNA from 1 species
GACGAACGCUGGCGGCGUGCUUAACACAUGCAAGUCGAACGGUAAGGCCCUUCGGGGUACACGAGUGGCGAACGGGUGAGAAACACGUGGGUGAUCUGCCCUGCACUUCGGGAUAAGCCUGGGAAACUGGGUCUAAUACCGGAUAGGACUCCGGACUGCAUGGUCUGGGGUGGAAAGCUUUUGCGGUGUGGGAUGGGCCCGCGGCCUAUCAGCUUGUUGGUGGGGUGAUGGCCUACCAAGGCGACGACGGGUAGCCGGCCUGAGAGGGUGACCGGGCACACUGGGACUGAGAUACGGCCCAGACUCCUACGGGAGGCAGCAGUGGGGAAUAUUGCACAAUGGGCGCAAGCCUGAUGCAGCGACGCCGCGUGAGGGAUGACGGCCUUCGGGUUGUAAACCUCUUUCAGCAUCGACGAAGCGAAAGUGACGGUAGGUGCAGAAGAAGGACCGGCCAACUACGUGCCAGCCGCCGCAGUAA